UCUUAGGAGAAAAUCAGCAAUUGUUUAAAGGGUCAGCUUGGAUCUCCCAAUAGGUGUGGCAAUCAACCUCGCUCAUUGAUCCACAAAGACUGGAUUUGUGACCCAACAUAACUCGCAAACAACUUGCCUUCAAGCUUGUAUUCAUUUUUGUGAGAAUAAGAAAGAGGAAGUAUAGUCAAUGGCGUAAAGAUCAAAGGAUGUGGAGAUGAGUUUGGAGAGGAUUGUUUAGGAGACCACAAUUUAAGGAUGUAGGCGGGAG
rnacentral:misc_RNA from 1 species